rnacentral:snoRNA from 1 species
AUCCCAUGAUGAGGACACUUACGCCGUAACUCCUUGAAUCACUCCCAAGCCUCAUACAAAGACUCGUCAUCCAAUUACUGGAAGGUUGUGAUCUCAUUCCUCAACUU